rnacentral:rRNA from 1 species
CGAACGGGUGAGUAAUGCGUGACCAACCUGCCCCAUGCUCCAGAAUAGCUCUUGGAAACGGGUGGUAAUGCUGGAUGCUCCAACUUGACGCAUGUCUUGUUGGGAAAGUGUUUAGUGGCAUGGGAUGGGGUCGCGUCCUAUCAGCUUGUAGCGGGGUAAUGGCCCACCUAGGCUUCGACGGGUAGCCGGCCUGAGAGGGCGGACGGCCACAUUGGGACUGAGAUACGGCCCAGACUCCUACGGGAGGCAGCAGGG